CGGCGGCUCGAGUGGUAACCGUUAUUAUUGGGUCUAAAGGGUYUGUAGCCGGCCGGGUAAGUCUCUUGGGAAAUCCAGCAGCUCAACUGUUGGGCUUUYAGGAGAUACUGCCWGRCUCGAGGCCGGGAGAGGUGAGAGGUACUUCAGGGGUAGGGGUGAAAUCUUGUAAUCCUUGAAGGACCACCAGUGGCGAAGGCGUCUCACCAGAACGGACCUGACGGCAAGGGACGAAAGCUAGGGGCACGAACCGGAUUAGAUACCCGGGUAGUCCUAGCCGUAAACGAUACUCGCUAGGUGUCGGCCACGGUGCGACCGUGGUCGGUGCCGUAGGGAAGCCGUGAAGCGAGCCACCUGGGAAGUACGGCCGCAAGGCUGAAACUUAGAGGAAUUGGCGGGGGAGCACA
rnacentral:rRNA from 1 species